rnacentral:rRNA from 1 species
UGGACUUGAACACGGACCAAGGAGUCUAACAUGUGCCGCGAGUCAAAGGGUCUUCCGAAACCCCAAGGCGCAGUGAAAGUAAAGGACUGUUCAUUCAGUUCGAGGUAAGAUCCUGCCCUAACCGGCAGGCGCAUUACCGGCCCGUCCUAUGGUUGACUUGUCUUCCUGGGCGGAGCAAGAGCGUACAUGUUGGGACCCGAAAGAUGGUGAACUAUGCUUGCGUAGGUCGAAACCAGAGGAAACUCUGGUGGAGGACCGUAGCGAUUCUGACGUUCAAAUCGAUCGUCAAACGUGAGUAUAGGGGCGAAAGACUAAUCGAACCAUCUAGUAGCUGGUUCCCUCCGAAGUUUCCCUCAGGAUAGCUGGCACUCGUGAAACAGUUUUAUCCGGUAAAGCGAAUGAUUAGAGGUAUUGGGGUCGAAAAGACCUCAACCUAUUCUCAAACUUUAAAUGGGUAAGAUGCUCAACUCUCUUGCUUGGAGUUGGGCGGUUUCGAAUGUGAGUGCCAGUGGGCCAUUUGGUAAGCAGAACUGGCGCUGUGGGAUGACAAACGUCUGGUUAAGACGCCAUACAUGGACGCUCAUCAGACACCACACAAGGUGUUGUUGAUAUAGACAGCAGGACGGUGUCCAUGGAAGUCGGAAUCCGCUAAGGAGUGUGUAACAACUCACCUGCCGAAUCAACCAGCCCUGAAAAUGGAUGGCGCUGGAGCGUCGGGUCUAUACCAGACCGUCACAGCAAUAUGUAAAAGGAUGCUGUGGCGAGUAGGAGGGUCGCCGUGGUCAGCAUAGAAGCCACGACCGUGAGGUCGGGUGGAGCGGCCACGGGUGCAGAUCUUGGUGGUAGUAGCAAAUAUUC